GGUUUCUUGGAAAAUUUAAGAGAUUUAACCUGCCCACUGAAGGAAUAUUUGAAGGGCCGCAGUAUUUUGACUGUGCAAAGGUAGCGUAAUCAUUAGUCUUUUAAUUAAGGGCUGGUAUGAAUGGUUGGACGAGGUAAAAACUAUAUUAUUUUAAUGUAAAUUGAAUUUAGAUUUUAAGUAAAAAUACUUAAAUAUUAGUAAGGGACGAGAAGACCCUAUAGAGUUUAAUAUAUUAAGUUUAAAUUGAGUUAAGCUGAAAUUUUUGGUUAUUUAUGAAGUAUAUUUAAUUGGGGUGAUUAAAAGAUAAAAGUAACUCUUUUUUAAGAUUAAUUAUUUUGUAAGUGAAAAUGAUCCAUGAAUUAGUGAUUAAAAGAUUAAAUUACCUUAGGGAUAACAGCAUAAUUUUCUUGGAGAGUUCCUAUCGAAAAGAAAGAUUGUGACCUCGAUGUUGGAUUAAGAGAAGUUUUGGGUGUAGAUGUUCAAAAAUUAAGUCUGUUCGACUUUUAAAUUCUUACA
rnacentral:rRNA from 1 species